GACGAACGCUGGCGGCGUGCUUAACACAUGCAAGUCGAACGGUGAAGCGCUUGCCUCUUUGGUGGGCGUGGAUGAGUGGCGAACGGGUGAGUAACACGUGAGUAACCUGCCCUCUUCUUCUGGAUAACCUCAUGAAAGUGGGGCUAAUACGGGGUAUUCCGUGUCUGUCGCAUGGCGGGUUUGGGAAAGAUUGCGCCUUUGGGUGUGUUCGGUGGGGGAUGGGUUGGCGGCCUAUUAGCUUGUUGGGGGGGGGAUGGCCUACCAAGGCGUUGACGGGUGGCCGGACUGGGAGGGUGGACGGCCAGACAGGGAGAGAGGCACGGCCCAGCUACGGGAGGGAGGAGGCGGGAAGAAAGGUUGAAGGACGGGCGCAAGCCGGAGGCAGCGACGCCGGGUGAAGGAGGGAGGCGGUCGGGUUAGGAACCUCUUUGGCCAAGAAAGCAAGCAUGCUAAUGUGUGGGUGGGUUGACGGUAGCUAGAGAAGAAGCGCCGGCUAACUACGUG
rnacentral:rRNA from 1 species